UACGUAGGGGGCUAGCGUUAUCCGGAAUUACUGGGCGUAAAGGGUGCGUAGGUGGUUUCUUAAGUCAGAGGUGAAAGGCUACGGCUCAACCGUAGUAAGCCUUUGAAACUGGGGAACUUGAGUGCAGAAGAGGAGAGUGGAAUUCCUAGUGUAGCGGUGAAAUGCGUAGAUAUUAGGAGGAACACCAGUUGCGAAGGCGGCUCUCUGGACUGUAACUGACACUGAGGCACGAAAGCAUGGGGAGCGAACAGG
rnacentral:rRNA from 1 species